rnacentral:rRNA from 1 species
UGCAUAGGAAUCUACCUAGUAGUAUAGGAUAGCCACUAGAAGUGGUGGGUAAUACUGUAUAAUCCCUGCGGGGGAAAGAUUUAUCGCUACAUGAUGAGCCUAUGUUAGAUUAGCUAGUUGGUGGGGUAAUGGCCUACCAAGGCAGUGAUCUAUAGCUGGUCUGAGAGGAUGAUCAGCCACACUGGAACUGAGACACGGUCCAGACUCCUACGGGAGGCAGCAGUGGGGAAUAUUGGACAAUGGGCGCAAGCCUGAUCCAGCUAUGCCGCGUGAGUGAGGAAGGCCUUAGGGUUGUAAAACUCUUUCAGUGGGGAAGAUAAUGACGGUACCCACAGAAGAAGUCCCGGCAAACUCCGUGCCAGCAGCCGCGGUAAUACGGAGGGGGCAAGCGUUGUUCGGAAUUAUUGGGCGUAAAGGGCAUGUAGGUGGUUUGGUUAGUUAAAGGUGAAAUGCCAGGGCUUAACCCUGGAGCUGCCUUUAAUACUGCCAGACUGGAGUCCGGGAGAGGAUAGCGGAAUUCCUAG